rnacentral:rRNA from 1 species
UACGUAGGGUGCGAGCGUUGCCCGGAUUUAUUGGGCGUAAGGGGCGCGCAGGCGGCUACGCACGUCCGUUGUGAAAUCGCUCGGCUCAACUGGGCGGGGGCAGCGGAUACGGCGUAGCUGGAGCAAGCUAGGGGGCAAUGGAAUUCCCGGUGUAGUGGUGGAAUGCGUAGAUAUCGGGAGGAACACCAGUGGCGAAGGCGGUUGCCUGGAGCUUUGCUGACGCUGAGGCGCGAAAGCGUGGGGAGCGAUCCGG